GGGAAGUUUUUUGUUGUUUCACUGAAUAGAACUUCUAAUCCAUUUUCUUGUUCCAGGCCUUCAGGAACUCCUACGACCUAUAUCUCAGCCUUGGAUGAGAAGAAUCCAUUACUAGCCACAAGUGCGGUUUUAAGGGAAGUGGAACUGCAGAAAGCAUUAAACUAACAAAUAGAAUGGAACUAUUUUAUUUAUUUACAACAAUCCUGACAGAAGUUGGAUAUACAUUACACAAGCCUUUAGAAGCUGAUGGAAGACAAGGCUUAAAUUUGAAGCAGUCCCUGU